GAGGCGGAAAUGGAGUCAGAGGAGGAAUCAGAGCGCGAAAUUAGAAACGAGGAUUCGAGAGGAUUUGAAAAUAAAAAGAAAAGGAAGAAGAGUAACUCAAGUGAAUCCGGUCAGAAAGAGGAAAAGUAUCUUGUUGGGAUGAUAGCAGUGACACAAACAGACGGCAUUUUCAAGAAUCCACAUGAAGUCGGAAAGUUUGUAGGAGGAAAGCUCGGAGAUGUCAGAUCGGUCAGGAUAACAAGAAGUGGGAUGGUUAUCAUUGAAUGUGUGUCAAAGCAUCAGAGAGACAGAGCCCUGAAGAUUCAUGCAUUUGGAGAUUAUAGCAGUGUGGAUUGCUUCCCACUCGGAGCAGAAGUAAAAAAGAAGGGGGUAGUAAGCGGAGUGCCACUGUCGGUGGAGGCCGAGUCAUUUCGGGAGGUUGAAGGUGUGUGUGAGGCAAGAAGGCUGACAAGAUUCAGAAAUGGGGAGAAGGAGGACAGUAACUCAGUGUGUUUGACUUUUGAGGGGGAGUUACCAGAGAGAGUGUACCUAGAUUAUGUGUGCUACAGGGUGAGGCCAUAUGAGAGAGCGCCUCUCAGGUGUUUCUGCUGUCAGGAGUAUGGACAUGUUGCGGCAGUAUGUAGAGGAGGCAGAAGAUGUGGGAGAUGUGGGAAGGACGACUGUAAUGUGGAGAAGUGUAAAGUGGAGAAAGAACAAGCAAAGUGCCUGCACUGUGAGGGAAACCACUAUACGGGAUCAGCAAAAUGUCCAAAAAGAAUUAAGGAAAUGAAAAUGAAUAAGAUCAGAGCGGAAAAGGGAUUGUCAUAUCCGGAAGCUGUUAAGAGUAUGGAGAGGAACGGUGAAAGGGUGGUAGUUCAAAAGGAAAAGGAGAAGAAAGGAAAUGGAGACGAGCAAAACAUCAGUAUGGACAAGAAGCGAUUUCUGGCAUUUAUUGCCACGGUUAUAAACUGUGCGGCUGAAAUGAAGGGGAAGUCAGAAAGGAUUAAGAUGGUGCUGGAUGCGGCAAGAAGAUUCUUGAAUGUUGUGGACAUAACUGGAGAGGAUCUGGAUGUUACACUGAGGGAAGGAGUUGCACCAACUCAGACAGCUGGGUCUGGGUUAUAGAAUGGACUAUGGCAUUGGAUCACGUUGGGUGGACAAUGUUUAAAGUUUAAACUGUGAAGAUGUUAAAAUUCAGUAGGUGGCGGAAAUGCGCAAUUAGGGACGCCAACCGCCAUAAAACACAACAGAAGAAGAAGAAGAAAAGUCGCCACGUGACUGUUGUGGACUUCCGCUUUUACUUUGAAGGAUCGGGACGGACAUUGGAGCUGCAUCAGUUUUUCUGAAACCAGGAUCGGGACGGACAGUGGAGCUGCAUCAGUUUUUCUGAGACGCUGAAACCAGAUUAUUGUUCCCGGAAGUCGGUCCCUAGCACCUACUCCUGAUGACAUCACGCACAUCGUGAAAGAUGGCAAGCUAUGAUUGGUCGGGGAGCAACGUGGAGUCUGUCAUGUAUCACGGCCGAGUCACGGCAAGAAUUUGUGACUUUACAAUAGAAAAACCUGACGCAGUGACCAUCGAAACAGAACAAAUAAUGUGUAGUCUGAACCCGGCGUUAGGGAUCAAAACAGAGCUGCAGAUCUUAAAGUAAAUUAUUUUCAAACAGGAUACUUUAAGAAUAAAUGUGUUGGCCACUAAAACAGAAAUGGCCACACUGAGUUUCAAGUUUCAGUUCUCAGCAGUUAACACUCAGGAAUACACUCAGUGGCCAGUUUAUUAGGUACACCUAGCCUAAACUACUGCAGUCUAAUACAGCAGUCCUGCAAGAAAUCCUCCUUCAUGAAGGUUAUAAUGUUCAGCUUCUGUUGAAACUGUUUCAGAGACGUGUUGAUUCAACAUGUGAUCAUUUGGAGGAUGUAGUUUGUGCUACUGUAGUCCAUUAUACAGAGAGGUAUUUCUGUUAUUUAGCCUACCCUCAUGGAUAUAAAUGGGGAGAUAAAAUAUCUGAUGAUAAAGAUAAUAAAUCUGCAGUUUCUACCGGCCCAUUUCCACGUAUUCCUCGCCAGAUUGUCUAUUGUGCUUAGGCCUUAGCUUUCCAGCCUCAUGUUCUGCCUGCCUGACUCUGCCAGCUUGAUCCACUGCCUGCCCAUCGGACUUCUGCCUCUCAGCCUGACCCCUUUUUGGAUCUUUUUGCCUGUUUUGAUCUGCCUGCCGGUUUUUAAUUUUGCUUGUUUUUGACCACAGCUAAAUGCGAACUUUACCCGUCCUGCUGUCUCUGAGUCGUGCAUCUGGGUUCAAAGCUGUCUCUCUACUGAGCCGUUACAGCACUGAUGAGACACAGAAACUGAACAUUUACUGAACAUCUUGUCAGACACACAGUGAAGUCAUGGUCGAACGUGACUUCUUAAAAAGCAGCAAAAUUGCGUUAUUCAUAAAUGUAUACAUUUUCACUCAGUGAAGCUACAGCUGCUUUAAAUCAUGAACUGCUGAAGCUGAUGCUGCAUGUGGAGAACAAAGUUCAACACAUCAGCUUGUAACAUUAUGUUUGUCGUUGGAAAGGAGAACCAAAAAUGUUGGUCACAGUCACGAGCUGAUGUCCAGGGUUGUUUCUGACCCAAUUUCUCGUUUUUGUUGGUUCAGAAAGCAGAACUAUUUCAACAUGCAUGGGGAAAGGGAAGUGUCUGUAAUCUGGAUUUUCUUUCAGUUUUGAGAUGUGAAAACUGCUUUUAGAAGAAAGGCCCUCAAAUCAGGUCAUCGAAACAUAGUUUUGUGUUGUUAUAUAAUAACCUGGUUCCAGACCGUUGAAUUGCUGUCCACAUCUCUGAUUUGCUCUGUACGCAACAUGUGCAAAUGCAGAACAUAACACAAGUUAUACAAGUACACUUAGUCAACAUCAUGUCAGCAUAUCUCUGAUGACACCAGAGUGUCUGCGUAUUUAAGGAAAUACAAGUCAACAAGAUCAUUAAUGUGCAGGUCUCUGAUGAAGGAACCAAGAACUACAGUCUGUGGGGAAACAAUCAGAUCACUGUGAGCACAAAUACUCAGAAGUGAAAGUAAAACAAGAUUGGUUAGGGGAUUACCAGUAUCUCUAAAAAAACAAAUUCAAACCCAGAGGAAGGGUUCAACUUCCAGUCUGUGCGCCUUCAGAAUAAAAGCUGAGAAUGCUUUUGUUUUAAUAAGAACUGUAACUUGGUGUCUAAUUGUCACACCCAUUAAUGAAACCUCAGCAACUGGUGACAGAAAAAUACUGAAAGUAGUACAACAUGCAGCAUUUUAGACUGUGGAGGCUACACAUAAUGGACUGACAAUAAAACCAGUGAGCACUUUGUUUAGACACUACGUCACCUCUUUGAUUUUAAUAACACAGCAGACAAAUGUGUAACUUUCCAAAUGUUUGACGUGACAAAAGGCAAAGAAUCGUACGAGGCAUGUACAAAUAUCUGCAGGUAUUGGUCCGACAACUAGUGAAAGUGGUCUGUAAUAAUAAUACACACCGACCUUUGAACUGUUUAGAUUGCUGUGACUAUGUGAAGUCAUCAGUAGUGAGGAGGAAGGAAGGUGGACUUUGGUCAGAGGUGUCAUUUACUGCACACUUCUCUUUCAUUUCACUUUGCACCACAAUUCGUUGCACUAAUGGAAGAAGCUUCCAUUUCAAAAGAGGCUCGGGUCCGCAGUAUCCUGAAGCUGCAUCAGCCUUAAUGUGUCGCUGAAACCAGGACUGAACUUGAUAAAAACUGGACCAGGAGCGCGGUGCUCUGUAACAAACAGAACUGGCUGUCAUGUUUUCCAGGUCGGGGGAGAGAGACUAAGAACAAAGCUUUCGAUUUCCAGACGGUGUCCCUGUUUGGAUUUUACAUCUCACUUCAUCCCAGAUCUCAGUGAGAUGACGUCUUCAGCCCAU